CGAAUAGCGUAUAUUGAACGUGCUGCGGUUAAAAGCUCGUAGUUGGAUUUCUGCUGAGGACGACCGGUCCGCCCUCUGGGUGAAUAUCUGGCGCGGCCUUGGCAUGUUCUUGGAAAACGUAACUGCACUUGAUUGUGUGGUACGGUAUCCAGGACUUUUACUGUGAGGGAAUUACAAUGUUUUAAUAUGUUGUUGGUUUCUGAAGCUGAGGUAAUGAUUGAUAUGGAUAGUUGGGGGCAUUCGUAUUUAACUGACAGAAAUGAAAACCUUGGAUUGUCAAAGACGUAUUACUGCGAAAGCAUUUGCCAAGGACGUUUUCAUUGAUCAAGAACGAAAGUCAGGGGAUCGAAGAUGAUUAGAUACCGU
rnacentral:rRNA from 1 species